GGAUGGGGAGGAACAAAAUAAAGAAGAAAAAAGUAAAUGGUAGCCUGGUGCUCAGCGUGAAGCUGAGCGGGAGGCAGAGUUGGGGUCGGUCUGGGAGAAGAACCAUUAUCAUGGUGGGACAAUUUUGUCCCCAUUUUCCGCAGCCUAAUCUAACAGAGAGGUCGAAAAGUGGAUAGAAGAUGGUAGGAUAUAGUUUCAGGUCAAUGGUGUGUAUACGGCAUUCCAAUUUGCACAGUGGAAGAAGAAAAGAAGGCGGGCAAGGGUUGCUCUGUAUAUAUAAAAAAGGAGAAAAAGAGAAAAGAACUGAAACCUCCCUUCAGACUAAUGACUGUUAUGUGCCCCCAACAGACUGGCAGUGGUGCCCCGACUAAGGAGGGGGGCCCACACACAAGCAUUCGCCGACACUUCUUUUUGCUUUAGCUCAUGCUGUGACCUCUCUAUAUGCUGCAUGUUCUUAAUAGACACAUUUUCGACCAAAGCCUACUGAUGCUAUCCCCUUCUGUACAUUUUUACCUACGUAGGCUAUAUCCUUUUUUUCCCUUCUUUAUCUCCUAUGGCUCUGUAUAGGCUGUAUAGCUGUACGUAUAUCUAGAUACGGCUCAACUUCACAUAUUUCCCUACCCCGUCUGCAAGUAGUGGUGGGCCAAUUAACCAUGAAAUGAGUAAAUGACCCUAAUGUCAGAUCUCUUCAUUAUUUUCUUGUCCACUCCAGGACACCGACUCGACCUGCAGCGGUAGCUUCUCAUUUAUUUUCUUUCAUCAUUGUCAAGUGUUUGACGUUUUAACAUGUGCAAAAAUGUACACAGCUGACGCAGGGUAUACAACCAAGUCUAAACAAGCCUAAAGUUGUCUGCAAACAGCCAAGGUUUUCGUUGUGCUGCUAUUUCUCACAUCACCUCUUGCCUGCAGUGUGAAAGAAUUAUUUUAAGCGUUUUUUUUUUUUCGUAGUCUCUGGUGGCAGAAUUAAUGGAAUCCUAUCACAAAUUUGUGAUUUACCUGUCGUUUGCCAAUGGUUAAUCACGUUAUUAAAAUUAGUUUAUUGAAAGUAACGAUUUUUUUUUUCCUGGAAGAAAAUGGAAUGCACCUACACUUGGUUCGGGACUGAACGUUUUCCGUAACAGAAUAUAAUAAAGCUUUUCACUUGUGAAAAUCUCUGGCAUUAAAAGAACAUUCCACUAUGGCAUGAAUGACCAUAUAGCCAAUGGUUUAUCUAUGAGACGUGUUUCGUAAGUUUAUUUAUGGUUGUCUAAUAUUUUCUGUGCGGCAGUACAAGCAAAAAAAUAAAAGUAAAGAAGAAGAAAAAAUGGGCAGUAGGAUAAGCCUCUUGCAAACGCAUUAUUUGUGAACCGAUUCAUGAACGGCGUGGAGAUGACCCUUGAGGGAAGUAUGCCAACCAGGUCCAAAACCAGGUGCUCUUUCAACACGAGAAAGGUCCUUUUUUCGCUUGCUUCUUUAUUGAUGCACAACAGAGGACAGUUGGCCUGGUGUGUGUCAUUUUAGGCUGGCGGAAGAUGGACGGAACGAGGGCGACGAGUCUGUGGAACAGUGGCGAUGUUUGGAAAAGUGCUUUCAUUUCAGCAAUUGCCUGAGCUCGGCUUUCUUCUACCAGUUUUUCGAAAAUCUUCUUUUUGAGUUUGAAAAACCGCCGCUCUGCUAUCGUCUGGAAAUCGACAUUUCGAUAGAUCGGGGCAGACGACAGGUACACCCCUUUUUACCCCAUAAGUCCGAUAAGCUUCUUUCUUGUUCUUGUUCUUUUUUUUUUUUAAGGGUAUAAUAGUAUGUGAUACCACCCUGGGUUUUGGCAAAACUCCCAGUUUCUAAAUAUUUCUUCUUCACCUUUUUUUUUCGGGAUGGAUUUCUAAAAUUCUUUUUACCCUUUCUGCAUUUUCCAUGAUCGGCUAAAGGUUUUAUGGGAAAUCAUGUUUGCUAUGCUGCACCGAUUUUUGCUAUGUGUGUAUAUUUAAAUAAAAGCAAAUUCAUGGCGAAACCAGGAGAAAUAAGAUAAACAAAAAACGAUCUCAAUUAAAAGAAAUUUGUUUUAUCGUUUCUUUUUGGUGUUCACCUCGAAUUGGUCUGUCACAAGGUAUGUGUGUAUAAUGUGCGAUGCCUUCAAGAUGAAUCCUGUUCAUUAUCAAUAUUGGCUGUCUUCAUUGAGGAAACCGAAAAUUCAAGUUUUCAUAACUCUAUGAGACAUCUGCAAAUUAAGUUAAUAACCUUUUUAUGCAACAGAGAAUUACGUUACACAUUUUUGUUGACUGUUUGAUAAACGAUUACUGUAUUGUUUUUGCUCAUAAUUAAGACCCUGUUCCACACUUCCUUCUAGCAAUGCGACGUAUAGAUAGAAAGACAUGAUUUUUAGGUUUCCUUAAUUGCUGAGCAACCAUUAGUGGAGAGUGGCACCUGACAUUGGUCAAGUGACUUGGCGGAAAAAAGGCACAGUUGAUAUCGCACCAUUAUGCUAUGAUGAAGGAAUAAUAUUUUCCUUGUAUUAAUUUAGCUGCAUAAAACGCCUAUUUUAUUUGUGCAGUCGGUCAUGAAAAAACUGCUCACCACCCACAGCUGUUGUUUAUGCCCUGUGCCACAGUUUAAAUCGGUGUCUUUUGCAUAAUAUCACCCCUUGUUGCAGAUCACGUUGAUCUUUUUCCAGAACCUACAAGGAGAAUAUUUAAGAAAUCACAUGCAUUUGGUCUUUUUCAAUUAGAGCAGUUUUAGCUCGUAAAAAGAAAAAUCCGGGAAUUUUAACGGCGCUUGUAGAGGCUUUAGAGAACAACUGGUUAAGGCUGCCUAAAGCCCAUAAACGUAUUGUAUGUACCCUCAUCUGAAAAGAAAGAAAAAAAAACUCGACCACUCCUUCUAAGGUUCGUUCCCCUAUAUUCAUAGGCUAUAUGUGUAUAGCCACCGUCCCCUAAUCUUAGCUACCACCCGCUGUUGUACCUUCCUACUCAUUUUUCGUCGACCGUCACGGAUUAUAUUUCCUACUUUCAUUAGACAUAUUGGAACUUUCCCCCCUUAAAAUAUAUGCUAAUUAUCCUGAUCUGUUGGAACUAGACAUUUUGAGCUGCUCGACAUAUAUACAGGCUCGCACUGACAAACAAUUAUCUGCCAUCUUCCACAUUAUAAAACCUUAACCGCCAUUGGCUGCCAACACAUUUGCCUGUGUUGGCAAGUUGCCGCUCAGCUUUGUACU